UGGUUUUGGCUCUUCUGGAGCAGGUGUUGGUUUUUGUUCUUCUUUAGUAGGUGUUGGUUUUUGUUCUUCUGGAACAGGUGUUAACUUUAUUUCCUUUGAAGCGGGUGUUGGUUUUUGUUCUUCUGGAGCAGGUGUUGGUUUUUGUUCUUCUUUAGUAGGUGUUGGUUUUUGUUCUUCUGGAACAGGUGUUGAUUUUAUUUCUUUUGGAGCAGGUGUUGGUUUUAUUUCUAUUGGAGCAGGUGUAAGUUUUUGUUCUGGAACAGGUGUUGGUUUCUGUUCUUCUAGAACAGGUGUUGGUUUUUGUUCUUUUGGAACAU